GUGCUCCCUUCUGCAGCACAUGUACUAAAAUUGGCAAGUUACAAGUUAAGAUCAGCAUGGCCCCUGUGCAAAGAUGACAUGCAAAUUUGUGAAGCGUUCUGUAUUUUU